UAUAAUAGACCAUUUCCGUCAUACCUAACACCCCUGUUUUGUAUUUUUCCUCGAAAGAUAAUAAUUUUACGCUAACAUUUUUGUUGGUAUUUUUUCUUUUUAUGUAUUGUUGAAUUUUUGAUGAAUUUUCAAAUAUUGGCAAUUUCACCACUUUUGGAGACAUGCGGAACAAAAAUAGUAACCCUAAGCGUGGUGAAUAUAUUUUUCACCACUCCAGGAGAAUGUCAAAAACCUCAAAAACUGAUAACCCUAUGCUCAGCUGUUAUUUACGUUUUGAAACGUCAAAAAUGCGAAAUGAAAUUUCGGAUCAUAACAAACGGUUUUGGUGGUUUCGUUGGGGCAACUUCUUCUCAUCCCAGCCAUCGGGAUGUGGUUCUUCAAACAUAGCACCUCGGAAGGGAAUCGUCACCGAUAUCAGUCUUCUGAAGAUUACUGCUUCCGCUUCGUCACACUUUGAUUAAACGCUAGACGAAAAUCUCCUCGAUCAAGGAAAUGAAAUGUCCCAGGAGAUCAACAACGCGCUGAACAUCGCCAUGUAAAUGGACUGGUCUACGUUAGUCUUCGGCGAGGAUGUCGCGUUCCGCUGUUCGAUGGAACUGUAGCAACAGUAGACGAACAAAGCGUUUCAGCACACCGCUGUAUGAGCAUGGCAUUAUUGGGUUUGUGACCAGGCAACACCGGAGUGUUUUCCACAACUAAGAUGCAAUUUCUCGGCGUACGAUCAGAUUACACGCCCAAGUUGAAAGUGGUGAAGCCACUAGGACCGAACAGAUCCAACGGACUCCUGCUAGCGGUCAUAAAGGAGAAGGAUGCUUUCAUCGUUUUCAAACUGGAAACACUUUAUCAAGCGCCUGAGAUGUCGCUUGAAUGCCUACUUCGAAAACCAAGAUGUUCUGGUAAUUGGCAACUCAAGGGGUGUGAAUCGUAGAUACAUGUACUAGAGGAUGUGGUCCAUAUGGCGAAAAAAACAGUGUUCGAAUCGUUCUACAUUCCGCAGAAGUUCUGAUGCCUGGCCGGGAUCGAAAAGCUGAUCGAUUAUCGAGAAGGAAUUUGAUGACGAUUACAUUUUGUCUUUCAGUUUUAUUCGCGUAAGCUUUACCCCUGAAUCAGUUUGGAGAACGUCACAAUAACUAGGGUUGGUGCACCAAUAGCCAAUCAGCUAAAAACAAAUACAAUCCAAUCUUUAUGAGUCGAUAUUGACCAAUGAGAAUAUAUACUAUAUAUUCUCAUUGGAUAUUGAC